UGGGGAAUUUUGGACAAUGGGCGCAAGCCUGAUCCAGCAAUGCCGCGUGUGUGAAGAAGGCCUUCGGGUUGUAAAGCACUUUUGUCCGGAAAGAAAACCUCGUGGUUAAUACCCGUGGGGGAUGACGGUAUCGGAAGAAUAAGCACCGGCUAACUACGUGCCAGCAGCCGCGGUAAUACGUAGGGUGCAAGCGUUAAUCGGAAUUACUGGGCGUAAAGCGUGCGCAGGCGGUUCGCUAAGACAGAUGUGAAAUCCCCGGGCUUAACCUGGGAACUGCAUUUGUGACUGGCGGGCUAGAGUAUGGCAGAGGGGGGUAGAAUUCCACGUGUAGCAGUGAAAUGCGUAGAGAUGUGGAGGAAUACCGAUGGCGAAGGCAGCCCCCUGGGCCAAUACUGACGCUCAUGCACGAAAGCGUGGGGAGCAAACAGG
rnacentral:rRNA from 1 species